GGUCGUACUCAUAACCGCA
rnacentral:snRNA from 1 species